rnacentral:rRNA from 2 species
GGGCCCGCACAAGCAGUGGAGUAUGUGGUUUAAUUCGAAGCAACGCGAAGAACCUUACCAGGGCUUGACAUCCUACUAACGAAGUAGAGAUACAUCAGGUACCCUUCGGGGGAAGUAGAGACAGGUGGUGCAUGGUUGUCGUCAGCUCGUGUCGUGAGAUGUUGGGUUAAGUCCCGCAACGAGCGCAACCCUUAUCAUUAGUUGCUACGCAAGAGCACUCUAGUGAGACUGCCGUUGACAAAACGGAGGAAGGUGGGGACGACGUCAAAUCAUCAUGCCCCUUAUGUCCUGGGCUACACACGUACUACAAUGGCGGUCAUACAACGGGCAGCGACACAGCGAUGUGAAGCAAAUCCCUUAAAAGCCGCCUCAGUUCAGAUCGUAGGCUGCAACUCGCCUACGUGAAGUCGGAAUUGCUAGUAAUCGCGGAUCAGCAUGCCGCGGUGAAUACG